GACGUAGGGCGCGAGCGUUGUCCGGAUUUAUUGGGCGUAAAGAGCUCGUAGGCGGCUUGUCGCGUCUGCUGUGAAAACCUAAGGCUCAACCUUGGGCUUGCAGUGGGUACGGGCAGACUAGAGUGCGGUAGGGGUGACUGGAAUUCCUGGUGUAGCGGUGGAAUGCGCAGAUAUCAGGAGGAACACCGAUGGCGAAGGCAGGUCACUGGGCCGCAACUGACGCUGAGGCGCGAAAGCGUGGGGGAGCGAACAGG
rnacentral:rRNA from 1 species